AGGAUGAGGAUGAGGAGAGUAAACUGUACACCUGGGUGGGGAAAAUGAUUGCUGUGUACGUCAUUAAUGGAGGAGUUGGUCCACAUUUCUUCUCGGAAAGGCUUUUCCAGCCAAUCUGUGGAGUAGAAACGACCCCGGCCACGGUCGAUGAAGUUGGCGACCAUACUUUUAGGCAGCAGUUGAUGAAAGUAAGCAGGAGAAAGGUGUUAUACAUCGAAUGUACAGUCUACUGUGACACAGCCCUCCAGUUGCUUUCUAUUAACUUUCUAUUUAUGAAACGCUUCCUUUCAUAGUGUACAACUAUUGACAUUUAAUUUAUAUAGGGAAGGUGUCCUUAUAAGACAAUUUUGGAUUGUUGGCCUCCUGCACAUUUUAAUUAUCCUUGUAUUUAUGUGCCACUCACUAUCUUUCAUUCUGUAUUUUUGUCUUCUUUCUGUCUAUUUGUCUUUCUUUUCUUUUUAGAUACUGAGGAAGCAACAACAGUCAGAGAGGCAAACGCCACAAUUACAGAGGCAGCAGAUAGUCUCAAUAUUGUAGGGGCCUUGAGACAUGUAUCCAGCCUUGAAGAGAAGGACUCCCUUGUCAAGUCAGCUGCUGACUUCUUUGUAAACGGCAGAUUGGCGACUGCCCUGGACCAGUUUGCUGAUGGGUUACAAACCCUUGGAUUACUCCAAGAGAUUAGGGAGAAUCCGGCAGUAUUCUUCCACUUCUUUGUAAAUGAGGAAAUUCCCCUUCAGGCAAAGGACCUGUGCAAGCUAUUUGUUGUAGACUUCUCAGUGCAAGGCAGCAACCGGAGAAACCGUGAAAAUGCAACCAUCUGCUUCUGGCGUGACUGUUUGAUUGACGUAGAAGAAGGAGAAUGAAUGUCUAGGAAAAAGCGCUAUAUAAAUUCAAUGCAUUAUUAUUAUUAUUAAUGCAGUCAGUCACCCUUAAGAAGGUAUUGGAAUUUUCAGUCCCUCCCCUGGGAUUUCCAUACCCUCCUCAAAUCCAGUUCAUUCAUGAAGAAAAACCGAAACUUCCCUGAAGCAAACACCUGUAUUAUUAUACUACGCCUGCCGCUGCAUUCUUCCUAUGAAUGUUUUAAAAAAUACAUGAUGGAGGGAAUUCUGCAAGCGCCGACCUUUGGUCUUGCAUAAUGUUAUUUGUUUUUCAUUCAUUGCAGGUUGUUAGAGGGCAUGCCUCUAUUGUUCCAAUUGAUCAACUCAUACGCACUCAUACGCUCUCACUCAUACACACUCUCUCUGUCACACUCAUAUGCUCUCACUCAUACA